rnacentral:lncRNA from 1 species
CGACAUUUAACAUACAUUCUCAUAAAGCUUCUAAAACAGGUUUGAUCUCAAUAUAUAUAUAGAAAAAAAUCAUUAAAAAACAUAGCAAAACUGCAACUUGUUACACUAUGUAAUUAUAGAUUACUGCAUGGCAUUUUCCAUGUUGGCCCUGGUAUCAGCCCUAGACUUCCACCUCAAGCCAGAGGACUAUUAGCCGAGGGUUUGGUAUGGGUCGUGGACUGAUAUAACGGACCAAAUGGAAACUGCCAUGGAGUAAUCUAUUUAUCACAUAUUUUCAAACAAGAGAAAAAAGAUAACAUAUACGAAAUUAU